rnacentral:rRNA from 1 species
UACGUAGGGGGCGAGCGUUGUCCGGAUUUACUGGGCGUAAAGGGUGAGUAGGCGGUUAUAUAUGUCAGGUGUAAAAAGCUAUGGCUUAACCAUAGUAAGCACUUGAAACUGUAUGACUUGAGUGCAGGAGAGGUAAGCGGAAUUCCUAGUGUAGCGGUGAAAUGCUUAGAUAUGACGCAGAACUCCGAUUGCGAAGGCAGCUUACUGGGAUGCAACUGACGCUGAGGCACGAAAGCGUAGGUAUCAAACAGGAUUAGA